rnacentral:tRNA from 1 species
ACUGCUUUGGCAGAUAAGUGCGGUGGAUUUAGAAUCCACAUAUGUAAAUAUUUAUUUACAGGUAGUA